AUGUUGUAUGAAAGGAGCGGUUACCACUCCCCUUGACAAAGGUGGAAGAGGCCCGCAGGCCCGAUGGCACAUAUGCAGUUAAAGCAUUGCCACCUGCGUGGUGGCAUCUGACCAUGUAAGUGC